UAGGGAAUCUUCGGCAAUGGACGGAAGUCUGACCGAGCAACGCCGCGUGAGUGAAGAAGGUUUUCGGAUCGUAAAGCGCUGUUGUAAGAGAAGAACGAGUGUGAGAGUGGAAAGUUCACACUGUGACGGUAUCUUACCAGAAAGGGACGGCUAACUACGUGCCAGCAGCCGCGGUAAUACGUAGGUCCCGAGCGUUGUCCGGAUUUAUUGGGUGUAAAGCGAGCGCAGGCGGUUAGAUAAGUCUGAAGUUAAAGGCUGUGGCUUAACCAUAGUACGCUUUGGAAACUGUUUAACUUGAGUGCAGAAGGGGAGAGUGGAAUUCCAUGUGUAGCGGUGAAAUGCGUAGAUAUAUGGAGGAACACCGGUGGCGAAAGCGGCUCUCUGGUCUGUAACUGACGCUGAGGCUCGAAAGCGUGGGGAGCAAACAGGAUUAGAUACCCUGGUAGUCCACGCCGUAAACGAUGAGUGCUAGGUGUUGGGUCCUUUCCGGGACUCAGUGCCGCAGCUAACGCAUUAAGCACUCCGCCUGGGGAGUACGACCGCAAGGUUG
rnacentral:rRNA from 1 species